rnacentral:rRNA from 1 species
AACACGUAGGAAUCUACCUCAGGACUGAGAUAACCCCGGGAAACUGGGGCUAAUACCAGAUAGAUAAAAGAUACUGGAAUGUUCUUUAUCCAAAGCUUUUGUGCCUGAGGAUGAGCCUGCGCCCGAUUAGGUAGUUGGUGGGGUAAUGGCCCACCAAGCCCGCGAUCGGUACGGGCAGUGGGAGCUGUAGCCCGGAGUUGGGGACUGAGACAAGGCCCCAGGCCCUACGGGGCGCAGCAGGCGCGAAACCUCUGCAAUGCGGGAAACCGUGACAGGGGGAUUCCAAGUGCUCAUGCAUUGCAUGGGCUGUUCUUUGGUCUAAGUAACCAGAGGAGUAAGGGCUGGGCAAGACCGGUGCCAGCCGCCGCGGUAAUACCGGCAGCUCGAGUGGUGGCCGCGAUUAUUGGGCCUAAAACGUUCGUAGCCGGAUAAGUAAGUCUUUGGUUAAAUCCUACGACUUAACCGUGGGAAAUCUAGAGAUACUGCUUGUCUUGAGACCGGGAGAGGUUGGAGGUACUCCCAGGGUAGGGGUGUAAUCCUGUAAUCCUGGGGGGACCACCUGUGGCGAAGGCGUCCAACUGGAACGGCUCUGACGGUGAGGGACGAAACCUAGGGGAGCGAGCCGGAUUAGAUACCAGGGUAGUCCUAGGCGUAAAUGAUGCGAGUUAAGUGUGGGGGCAUCUACGAGAUGGCCCUGUGCUGUAGGGUAGCCGUUAAACUCGCUGCCUGGGGAGUACGGUCGCAAGGCUGAAACUUAAAGGAAUUGGCGGGGGAGUACCACAAGAGGUGGAGGCUGCGGUUCAAUUGGAUUCAACGCCGGA